AAAGAGAAACAAAAAGAAAAAGCAAGUGAGCAAUCUGGGGGGAGAAGAUGGUGAGAAUGGGCGUAGAAGGGGGAUGGAGGCGACUGUCGUCGGGGGACGGCCGGGCAUGAGAUUGCUGGGCAGCAGGCCAUCUAUUUGCUUCUUUUUGGGCGUUGGCACUGGUGUGACCGGAGCACCGGAUCUAGACCCUCUGUGGUUAGUUCGUGCUCUACCUUGCAGAUGCUAACGCUGACCUCCAUCAGCGUUGGCUACUGGCCUGGGCGGUGGUUGGGGCUGAAGCAGCUGGGUAUGCGCUCUCUUCCGCUGCAGAGGAGUUAGCAAGCUAGGAGGUGCUCUGUCGGAAAGAAGAUCCAUGGGGAUGUAACUGUGUGACGAUGAGCAAGAGUGAGCAUGGACCAAGCCAUCAAUGACUGGUAUGUUAUCUUCUCCUGUAGUGUCCUAUACUGUGGUUGGUUCCUGAAAACUGAAGAAAGAACAAAUAACGUAGAUGCAGUAUAUUUCUAAAUUUAACAGUCCACUGUCUGUCGGAACAUAUGAGUAAUUUGCUCUAUCGGUAUUCUCUCUAUCGAAGUCUUGCUUAUUUAGAAUCUCAAGCUAAAUUGAUUAGGCAGCUUUAGGUCCUUUAGAUAGCUUUGGGCUUGAGAAGUGACAGUGGCGAGGUGCAGAUUCAGUGAGCUGAAGCAUAAAAAACUACCUUUUACAUGUUUGUACAAUACAGAUAUGCAAGAUAACAUACAUCACAUAAUAAACAGUCAGACGAAGCAGUUCUCAGCUUAUUGCUUGAAAAUGUAACAAAGCUAAGUGUUGGCCGUAUGCUCCUUAUAUCGGUAGAAAACAUACAAAAAAUUAAGAACUGGCCAUGGCCACUCCUCUUGUAUUUAAACCAAAUGCACGAAGCGACUUUAGCUCCUGAGGGUUUGUACACAACUUCUAUACUUGCGCC